rnacentral:lncRNA from 1 species
CUUCCAUUGUUACAUACUUAAUGAUGCUUUAUUCUUGUUGCAUAAUUGAAGGAGAUUACAGUUUAAAAGUAAUAUUUAAAAAUGGAUUAUCUAAAUGUAUACUGCCUAUUAUGUUGGCUCAGUACAUUGUGUGUAUAGGUAGUAAAGCAUUUUAGGGAUUAAGUCGUAAUUAAUUUUUUAUCACUUUAAUUUCUUAUGUGACUUCUUAUGCUCCUUUGCCUGCAUAUUCUCUAACAGGAAUUUUCUGAAGAUACCUGAACAUUUUUAUCCAGCUGCUAAGAAAUAUCUCUUGGUACAACUCAUAUAGAACCAACCCAGAUGAGGACAUGGACAGAAAUGUCAGGAGUAUAACAUGGAAGGUGUUCCAGAUGUGGACAUUCUCAUUUCCUGUUCAAGAAAAGACAAUUUGAUAGGAAUGAAGAGGGCAUACUCUGUAACAGGUAUGGCAAACUUUUCCUGUAACAGGUCAGAUAGUAAAGGUUUGCCUUUUGAGCCAUGUGAUCUUUGUUGUUACUACUCAAGUUGGUAGCAAAGGCAAAGACAGUGUGUAAAAGAAUGAGUGGGCUGCAUUCCAGUAACCUUUAUUUAUGGGCACUGAAAUUUGAACUUCAUGUGAUUUUCACUUGGGAUGAAAUUCUUCUUCCUUUAGUGUUUUUCAACUAUUUAAAAAUCUAACAACCAUGCUUCAUUCACAGGCUGUUAAAAAGAUAACAAAACACAAGUGGGCAGACCAGAUUUGGCCUGUAGGCUAUAGUCUGCUGACUCCUAUUCUUCAAGACGAACACAUAAGAAGAGAUGAUGUCUUAGUUUCAGAACUCCCAGUGGCCAGAAGAAUCCCUAGAAAAUUCAGAUGCAGCCCUCAUGAAAAGAUAAGGUUUGUAAACUCUGUAAUUUUAAGUGCGUGUGUUUGUAAAUCCACAGUGUUUUAAAAAACUUGCAGAUAGGACACCAAUUUGGCCUUGAGUUUUCCUGUAUGUAAAAUGGAGGAGUUGGGUGAGAUGACUCAUCAGUAGGGCUCUCUCCAACUUCAAGAUGUGAUUUUAUUUAGUCUGUUUUAACUUCAUUGUUGUCAUGUUUCCACAAUGUUGAACAUCACCAGUAUCAAGAUUGAAAUAUUAGCCAAAAUAGGGAUAUUUUCAAAUACUCAGAUGUUUCAUAUUACAUGGAAACCUAUUUUUCAUUAUCUAACAUAUUUUUCUAUUUUCAACAGGAUGCUUGUCACUGGACUAUUCUUUACUGUGAAUUUGGCAGUGGAAUGCCAACUGAAAUGAAGCAGAUGGUUGGAGGAUUUAGAUGUAGCUAAUCCUUAUAUAUAUUUGCCUUACAUGCCUUUUUGAAUAUUCCUUCCAAGAAAGUAGUAAUGGCAAAGAUUUCCAGUUUUUAUCAAUUGUCAUCAAUGGAGCUACCCUUUCCUUGUGGAAAACCUUGGGAGAGAGUUUGAUUCCCAGAUAGCAUUGCACUCUUAAAUGAGAGAUGGGCCAUUAGUCAUGUAGGUGAUAGCUUCACAAAAUUGCGGGAAGUAUUAGUUUCCAAAUCUGCAGCUGACCUCAUCUCUAGAGGUGUGCUAAUGAAUCAGAUGAGGCCAGUGUUUUCUGGAAACUAGAGUAAAUAACUAAUGUUAAGUAAAUUACCUAAAUUACUAAAUGGGACAUUGGAUUCCUUGAAGAAUUAAAUUCACCUCAUGUGAAUGAGCGAUUUCUUUCAACAGGUAAUUUAUUUAAUAGUAAGCUCAGCCAGCAUAUGGUAAUACAGGUCACAUCCUAUUGAAGGAAAAGAAUUUGCAUUUUAAACGUCUUUCCAGUUUCUCAGCCAGUGGCUUGAUUCUUUCACACAUCUGAAUGCAAAAAACAGUAAACAAGUGCUCUGGUCAACUGCUUGUAGGUGGAUAAAAAAGUGGUAGUUCCCACAUAAUUGUUUCAUUCUUUUGGUAUUCUUUUGGUAGAAUGAAUUAUUCUGAAUGAUUGUAGAAAAUCUUUUUUUGUGUAUGAUUCAGUGCAAUCUUUAAUUUGAAAUAAAGAGUAAGAAAGCCAAUUGAUACA